AAACUUCAAAAUGAUGUUACCAUUUUUUUUAAAUCUAUAACAUUUUUAAAACAUUUGAUUAUAGUUUUUCAGCGUGUUCAUACUUAUUGUCUUGACUAUAUAAGUUUUCUGUGUUCGCUUUUUGCAGCCGUUCCACAAAUACAUUUAUUUAUAUAGGUCACACUGCAAUGCCAUGAAUUCUCUGCACUUGGCAACGGAUUUGGGGAAACGUACGGAUAUUUUGUUUUUUUCAGGGUGGUUUCAGGAGGUCGAAAAGAAGAGAAAGUCGGGAUGGAAUUUCGUCAGUGGACUGUGGCAGCUGCAAUUUUUGAUUCCGUUAGACCAGAAAAAUAUCUGUUAGCUGACUUAUCCUUUAGAUACUAUAGCUCAAUAUGGUAUUUAGUUUUGGAUAUUUAUAGACUGAACAGUUUUAGCCUAUCUAUAGGGGUAUUUAUUAAUGUUUUAGGCAUUUGUCAAGAUUGAAUUUAAUACAAAAAGGUUUCACCAAUCUCGAGACCUCGAAGAAAGCCUUCCUAUUCUAUUUCAAUAUAUUCGAAACACGGCUCGUGACCAAGUGUUAUCGUGGAUUAGUUUUGUGUGCCGCAGAAAGUGUGUCAAUCAACAAUAAUGCAUUCGAUAAUGAUGAACAGCCCCAUUUGCAUUGGCGAUUGAUUGAGUGGAGGAGAUCAUUGGUAGAUACGCCACAUAUAGAGGACCCCGCAGAGCUGAUAGCAUUAUGUACAGGGUGUAAAGCCCAGCUGCAAGCCCCAUGUAAAUAUGCAGAUAGUAUUUGCUUUGUGCUCUAAUCAACUUGGGGAAUAGGAAACUAAGCCCAAUGAAAAAUACGUCAAUCGACUGCACCAUAUAGGCAGUACGGUUAUAUACAUAUGUAGAUAGCGAUCAAUCUGAAUCAAACAAAGAGCUAGAUGUGCGACUUAAAUCGCGAAACUGCACUUGACUCAUAUAUUCGUAUUACCAGCUGCAACGAAAUCGAACCAUCACCACUCACCACUCAGAAGUCCAUAUACUACGUAAGCUAAUAUUUGAUACACCCGCAAUUUGGACUUUAAGCGACGGAAAUCGGCAACAAAACAUGACUCCCCCAUGAUAACAAAGUGCCCAUAAAGGUAAAUCAAACCGAUAAGCAAUGAAUAUAUAUGUAGAAGUUCGUGCUCGCUUGCGAACAAUGAAUUGCAGUUAAGAAUUCUAAAAUUUCCAGAUAGCCGAACUGGCUGAGGAACUCAACUGAAGGUCGGCCGUUGGCUUUCCCACUAAAAAUAAACGCAGACUAUACAGUCGUAUGUAUUUACAUGUUUGCAUUUAGAAAUUUAGCUUAUUCGAUCUCUGAACCGGAAAAAGGGAGGAUGAACCAUCAAAACACGGCAAUUUCCACUAGCUGAUAACGAUCUGUUUAUAAGUGCCCAGUAACUAAGGCAAGAUUCGUAAUUGCAACGUGAUAAAAAGCGAAAAAAACCGCGAUAAUCAAAGAGGGGUAAACUCUUUGCGGUGAAAUGGAGGAAAUGGGAGAUAUAUGGGCAAUAUAGUUUGCCGUCAUACGAUACGAUAAUGUGACAAGUUCGCGUGGCCAUUUCCAACUCGUGUUCAAGUGGUUCGAGUGCCAACAACAAAGAGGAAGUGCGGUGAACAGCUGAUAAAUAGGGCCAUAAAGGAUCGGUCAUGAAUGAAUAUGUAGUCUUAUAAAGUGACUUUUAAAUGAGGUGGGUUUUUCAACACUCUGCCUGAAUAGCCCUUAAAUUAAAGCAGACACUUCGAGUACAAAAGAUGGAGUGCAAUAGUAAUAGAAUUAACAUACAAAUGACACUUUGCAAUAAAGCUUGGAGUAUAAACUGCGGUUCUUAACACAAGAGUACUUAAAAAACCCCAGGUAAAAAUGAGACAAAAUAGGCUUUUCUUUCCAAUUUUUCUAAAUUUAAUCCUAUACCUGUAAUGACUUUUUGUGCGAUACGGUUGGCAAGACCAAAAACAAGUUAAAACUUUCACAAAUAUAAACUGCCAGCGGAACAAAACGCCUUUUGUCUGUGCAACACUUCUGUACUUACAUAAACCUGUACUUAGAACCCGAAUCCCCCUGAAUAACGACUUUCAAAGUCCAAAUUAGACACGCUCUGGGCUGGGUAAUCAAAUAGACCUAGAUCACAAUGCAACCGACCAAAUUUAAUUGCAGCAAUUAAAGUGGCAACUGAACACAGGAAAAUUCGAGUUACCUGCACCAGCUGGCCAGGCUAACGAACUUUCUAGCAGCUGAGGAUAAAGAUCAGGUAGGUAGAAGAUCGUACGAGAAAAGCGGGAAAACAGAAGAUGCAAAAAGGAAUAAUCCAGAGAGUAAUUGAAGGUGCACACUGAAAAUUAUUUACUGAAGAAAUAAAUGAACAUAAAUACAUAAAGUUCCUCCAUUUCGAGGUCAAAACCCCAAUAUUUAGAAUGCUGUAUUUCCUGUGUGGCAUCUUGAAUGGAGGCAAAGUCAAGGGAAAUCGAGCAUUUCAUGCCCCGAGGGUGAUGAUCAUCCCAUUGGCACAAAAGCAAACAAAAAUCGGUUGAUUAUUUUAACGAUCGAACGCUGCUGCUUCUGCUGACGUUAUUCCAGAUUAAAACACUCGAUUACCCUGGUCAAA